rnacentral:ncRNA from 2 species
UAUAUUUGCGCCGCUGAAAGUUUCCUGUCCGCCGCUCUGCGGUGGAGGAAUUAAAAGGGAACCGGGUGAGAAUCCCGGACAGUUCCCGCUGCUGUAAUUUCCACGUCCUUCGGGACGGAAGUCACGCGGUAAUCUCUUUAGCCACUGCCUUAUGAGGUGGGAAGGCUGCCGCGAUGAGGAAUAAGUCAGAAGACCUGCUUUCAACUUGGACUGUCU